CAACCUGCCUAUAACUAGGGAAUAGCCUUGCGAAAGUAAGACUAAUACCCUAUGAUUUCCUUUGAUGACAUCAGAUUAGGAAUAAAGAUUUAUCGGUUAUAGAUGGGGAUGCGUCUGAUUAGCUUGUUGGCGGGGUAACGGCCCACCAAGGCAACGAUCAGUAGGGGUUCUGAGAGGAAGGUCCCCCACAUUGGAACUGAGACACGGUCCAAACUCCUACGGGAGGCAGCAGUGAGGAAUAUUGGUCAAUGGGCGGAAGCCUGAACCAGCCAAGUAGCGUGCAGGAUGACGGCCCUAUGGGUUGUAAACUGCUUUUAUACAGGAAUAAAGUUAGCCACGUGUGGUUAUUUGUAGGUACUGUAUGAAUAAGGACCGGCUAAUUCCGUGCCAGCAGCCGCGGUAAUACGGAAGGUCCAGGCGUUAUCCGGAUUUAUUGGGUUUAAAGGGAGCGUAGGCCGUCUGUUAAGCGUGUUGUGAAAUGUAGAUGCUCAACAUCUGAAUUGCAGCGCGAACUGGCAGACUUGAGUGUGCGCAACGUAGGCGGAAUUCGUGGUGUAGCGGUGAAAUGCUUAGAUAUCACGAAGAACUCCGAUUG
rnacentral:rRNA from 1 species